rnacentral:rRNA from 1 species
GACGUAGGGCGCGAGCGUUGUCCGGAUUUAUUGGGCGUAAAGAGCUCGUAGGCGGCUUGUUGCGUUAGCUGUGAAAACCCGCAGCUCAACUGUGGGCGUGCGGUCGAUACGGGCAUCACUGGAGUUCGGCAGGGGAGACUGGAAUUCCUGGUGUAGCGGUGAAAUGCGCAGAUAUCAGGAGGAACACCGGUGGCGAAGGCGGGGUCUCUGGGGCCGAAUGACUCGUGAGGAGCGAAAGCGUGGGGAGCAAACAGG